rnacentral:misc_RNA from 1 species
UCUCCGUUGGUGAACCAGCGGAGGGAUCAUUACAGAGUUGAAAAACUCUCAAACCCUUUGUGAACCUACCUUCAUUGUUGCUUCGGCAGGCGGCCCCAGGGUGGGGCUGUAGCCUCUUUGAGGCGCCUGCCGGAGAAGCUAAACCCUAUAACUAUUGUAUAUUCUGAGCAUACAUAAAAUAAGUCAAAACUUUCAGCAACGGAUCUCUUGGUUCUG